rnacentral:rRNA from 1 species
AGAGUUUGAUCCUGGCUCAGAGCGAACGCUGGCGGCGUGCUUAACACAUGCAAGUCGAACGCGCAGUUUGGUGUAGCAAUACACUGGAUGGGCGCGUGGCGAACGGGUGCGUAACACGUGGAUAACCUUCCUUCUGGUGGGGAAUAACCCCGUGAAAACGGGGCUAAUACCGCAUAACAUUGCGAGGGCGCAUGCUCUUGCAUUCAAAGGCGCAAGUCGCCGGAAGAGGGAUCCGCGGCCGAUUAGCUAGUUGGCGAGGUAAUGGCUCACCAAGGCGAUGAUCGGUAGCCGGACUGAGAGGUUGGCCGGCCACACUGGAACUGAGACACGGUCCAGACUCCUACGGGAGGCAGCAGUGGGGAAUCUUGCGCAAUGGGCGAAAGCCUGACGCAGCAACGCCGCGUGGGGGAUGAAGCUUCUCGGAGUGUAAACCCUUUUCGACCGGGACGAAUGCCCGCAAGGGCUUGACGGUACCGGUAUAAGAAGCCCCGGCUAACUACGUGCCAGCAGCCGCGGUAAAACGUAGGGGGCCAGCGUUGCUCGGAAUUACUGGGCGUAAAGGGUCCGUAGGCGGUGUGACAAGUCGGUAGUGAAAUCUCUGGGCUUAACUCAGAGGCUGCUGCCGAAACUGUUGUGCUAGAGUGUGAGAGAGGCGAGUGGAAUUACGGGUGUAGCGGUGAAAUGCGUAGAUAUCCGUAGGAACAUCCGAGGCGAAAGCGGCUCGCUGGAUCACAACUGACGCUGAGGGACGAAAGCUAGGGGAGCAAACAGGAUUAGAUACCCCCGUAGUCC